UACGGAGGGUGCAAGCGUUAUCCGGAUUCACUGGGUUUAAAGGGUGCGUAGGUGGGUCUGUAAGUCCGUGGUGAAAUCUCCGAGCUUAACUUGGAAACUGCCAUGGAUACUAUAGAUCUUGAAUACUGUGGAGGUUAGCGGAAUAUGUCAUGUAGCGGUGAAAUGCUUAGAUAUGACAUAGAACACUAAUUGCGAAGGCAGCUGGCUACACAAAUAUUGACACUGAUGCACGAAAGCGUGGGGAUCAAACAGG
rnacentral:rRNA from 1 species